ACUCACAUGCUCAUACAUGUGAAUCACCCCAAACUGCACAAUAAAGGAGGGCGUUUGUUUUGACCCGGUUUAGGGGCUGACCAGCCUGCCUUGCUUAUUAUGUGGUGAGGAAGCCACCACAAAAUUCAUAGCGUGGUAACCCAAUUGUUUAUUGCCACGUCAGAAAAAGUGCUUUGUUCGGAUUUUGCUUUUUAUUUUUUUUGUGCUUUUUAACCUCUUUCCUCACCUUGGCUCUGAAUGAUUUUCUUUUGAGGUGCAAUUUGUGUUUUUGCAGGUUUCUUCCUCUUUAAAUGUAUUUAUUAUUAUUCUUUUCCAUGUUGUUUACAUCAGCCACCUUGUGAUAUGAUAAUAUCCUUAUCGAGCUUUCCAAAAAAUACGAAAGCACCUUGAUAUUAGGACGGGGCGAACCCAAUUUCACCUCUCCUUUUGUGCUGCAACUGCCAGCAACUGGCUGCAGAAGACUCAAAGGUACAUAUAUAAACAGAUUCGAUAUGGUGAGGGAUUCACAAGAGACUUAUAGAGAGGGAUUUGCCACAUCAUCUUAAAUUCACCAAGUCAUUUAAAAAAUAUUGUUGACUCAGCAUAGCCCUAAAACUGAUUAACUUCUUCUCUGUUCACACUUGGUGACAGAUAUCCCACAGCACCACCAUCUCCUUCGUCAGCAGCAGAACCGGCGUUCAUUUCCGUUGACGGUAAGGUGUUAUGGCACCACCUUCAUAUUGUAGUUUAAGAAGCAUUCCAUUAUAGGAAUAUUGUAAAAAAUACAUGGGAUGGGAUGAAGGAAAUUUAUCAAAGGAUGAACAUGAGCAUCGAUGGGUGAUACACCGAGCAGGGUGUUAAAUCUCUAUGCAUUACAAAUAGUUGAGUUUCUUAUUGUUAACAGAAAUAUACAUGCCAUCAAAUUCAAAACUAAA